rnacentral:rRNA from 1 species
CUUGCUUCUCUUGAGAGCGGCGGACGGGUGAGUAAUGCCUAGGAAUCUGCCUGGUAGUGGGGGAUAACGUCCGGAAACGGACGCUAAUACCGCAUACGUCCUACGGGAGAAAGCAGGGGACCUUCGGGCCUUGCGCUAUCAGAUGAGCCUAGGUCGGAUUAGCUAGUUGGUGGGGUAAUGGCUCACCAAGGCGACGAUCCGUAACUGGUCUGAGAGGAUGAUCAGUCACACUGGAACUGAGACACGGUCCAGACUCCUACGGGAGGCAGCAGUGGGGAAUAUUGGACAAUGGGCGAAAGCCUGAUCCAGCCAUGCCGCGUGUGUGAAGAAGGUCUUCGCGAUUGUAAGCACUUUUAAGUU